ACGUAGGCAGCGAGCGUUGUUCGGAGUUACUGGGCGUAAAGGGUGUGUAGGCGGUCCUUUAAGUUUGGUGUGAAAUCUCCCGGCUCAACCGGGAGGGGUUGUCCGAUACUGCUGGGCUUGAGGGCAGCAGAGGGUGGUGGAAUUCCGGGUGUAGUGGUGAAAUGCGUAGAUAUCCGGAGGAACACCAGUGGCGAAGGCGGCCACCUGGGCUGUACCUGACGCUCCAACACGAAAGCUAGGGGAGCGAACGGGA
rnacentral:rRNA from 1 species